rnacentral:tRNA from 1 species
UGGAGUGUCGCCAAGCGGUAAGGCAUCAGGUUUUGAUCCUGACAUGCGGGGGUUCGAAUCCCUCCACUCCAGCCA